rnacentral:rRNA from 1 species
UACGUAGGGGGCAAGCGUUGUCCGGAUUUAUUGGGCGUAAAGAGCGUGUAGGCGGCCACACAGGUCAGCUGUGAAAACUCGAGGCUCAACCUCGAGACGUCGGUUGAAACCGUAUGGCUAGAGUCCGGAAGAGGAGAGUGGAAUUCCCGGUGUAGCGGUGAAAUGCGCAGAUAUCGGGAAGAACACCCGUGGCGAAGGCG